rnacentral:tRNA from 1 species
GUCGGAGUGGCGGAAUAGGUAGACGCGCCAGCUUGAGGGGCUGGUGAGGGCAACCUCGUGGGGGUUCAAGUCCCCCCUCCGACA